rnacentral:rRNA from 1 species
ACUCCUACGGGAGGCAGCAGUGGGGAAUAUUGCACAAUGGGCGCAAGCCUGAUGCAGCGACGCCGCGUGGGGGAUGAAGGCCUUCGGGUUGUAAACUCCUUUCGCUAGGGACGAAGCUUUUUUGUGACGGUACCUAGAUAAGAAGCACCGGCUAACUACGUGCCAGCAGCCGCGGUAAUACGUAGGGUGCGAGCGUUGUCCGGAAUUACUGGGCGUAAAGGGCUCGUAGGUGGUUUGUCGCGUCGUCUGUGAAAUUCUGGGGCUUAACUCCGGGCGUGCAGGCGAUACGGGCAUAACUUGAGUGCUGUAGGGGUAACUGGAAUUCCUGGUGUAGCGGUGAAAUGCGCAGAUAUCAGGAGGAACACCGAUGGCGAAGGCAGGUUACUGGGCAGUUACUGACGCUGAGGAGCGAAAGCAUGGGUAGCGAACAGGAUUAGAAACCCUAGUAGUCCCAUG